AGCAGUCGCCACGGGAACACGGAGGGUGCAAGCGUUAAUCGGAAUUACUGGGCGUAAAGCGCACGCAGGCGGUCUGUCAAGUCAGAUGUGAAAUCCCCGGGCUUAACCUGGGAACUGCAUUUGAAACUGGCAGGCUAGAGUCUUGUAGAGGGGGGUAGAAUUCCAGGUGUAGCGGUGAAAUGCGUAGAGAUCUGGAGGAAUACCGAUGGCGAAGGCAGCCAUCUGGCCUAAUACUGACGCUGAGGUACGAAAGCAUGGGGAGCAAACAGGAUUAGAUACCCGAGUAGUCCCUGUCUCUUAUAC
rnacentral:rRNA from 1 species